AAAAAUUCAAAAAAAAAUUUCCUCAAAAAUUCAAAUUUUUUUUCACAAAACUAGAUUUCAUCAGUAACCUCAACAAUAUUGGUAAAAGAUCUUUAAGUCAAUCUAUAAGCCCAGCUUUGAAUUGAAGUUUAUUACACACCACAUAGUCUCCGAUAGACAUAAAUAAGAUCUUUUAUUUGGAUCCAAAGAUGAUAAUUUAAAUUAUUAAUAAUUCCACCGAGAUGAAUACUUUAUAAUCUCCAAUAAAAUUAUUUCUUCAAGAUUGAUAAUUAUUCCUUAAUUCUUUCAAAGGCAUAAGCUACAAAUUUAAGAGAAAAUAGAUCUAUGCUAAAACAUUCCAAAUCCAAGAUCAACUAAUGCAGAAACCAUUAAUCCUAGACUUGGGAUGCCAGAUUUCUCUCUCUCUCUCUCUCUCUCUCCUCCCUUCAUAGCAAAUAGAAGAACCUACUAAUAAUACGAUAAUAUCCAUAUUGGUCAAAAUCAAAAGCACUAUUCUUUUCAUUGACAACGAAAUUCUCCUUAACCAGAAAACCUGUUAGAAAAUAUUUCUCAAUCACAGAGUUAAUAUCGUUGACCAUCUUAAAAUAAUUUAAACAACCAAUAUUCUCAUAAUUUACUAAAUCACUUCCAAUCAAAAUCCCAAUUUGCAUUGUAAUUUGAAAAGAUCUAAAAUUUCAAAUUCUAGGUAAAGCCAAAGAAUAAUUCUAGAAUUUCUUCCCAAAUAUAUUUUCCAUCUACAUAGGAGUUUCAUACAUGAUCCACAUAUAGUUUUCAAUCCUCAAAGAAUAUUUCAAUGAAUAUCAUAUAUAUAUAUAUAGCCCAAACCUUAAACAACAUUUCAUAUCUGAACCUUAACUUGUCACCGAAUUAAUUAACUUCAAGCUAGAAGUAACAUCAUAGUACCCGAUAUCAAUUUGAACAUCCAAAAUACUUACAUUGCACGAUAAUAUUCCAAGACUAAUACUCUUUCAUUUAACUUAGUCAAAAUCCAAUUAAUAAUAUCUUGGAAUACAAAUUACUCCACCAAGAAAACUCUCAAAAUAGUCUAUUCAUACUUUGGCUAUAAACACAAUUAGCUAGCAUUUUGAUUUCAAUAUCACAAAAUUUAGAUAAGAUAGCACAAAUUUACCACUAACAAAAGUAAACAAAGAUAUUGGUCUUCUUGCCCCAUCUCUCAAACUUUCCGACAAAUUCUCAGAAUCCUAAAAGCUAAGCUCUGAUAUGACCAAUCAUGAUUCCCA
rnacentral:lncRNA from 1 species